UACAGGAGGGGGCGAGCGUUGUUCGGAAUUACUGGGCGUAAAGGGCGCGUAGGCGGCCUUCUAAGUCGGAACGAUGAAAUCCCCGGGCUCAACCCGGGAACUGCGUCCGAUACUGGGAGGCUUGAAUCCGGGAGAGGGAUGCGGAAUUCCGAGGUGUAGCGGUGAAAUGCGUAGAUAUCUGGAGGAACACCGGUGGCGAAGGCGGCAUCCUGGACCGGCAUUGACGCUGAGGCGCGAAAGCCAGGGGAGCAAAGCGGG
rnacentral:rRNA from 1 species